GCCACAGACUCAGGUUUCAGAGCACAGCAAAAAGUCAAAGUUAAAGCCAAAGUCAAAGAAAGAAGCACAGCACGGAAGAAGGAGAAGGGGAAGUUGCUGAGCAGUCCUGUGACUCAAGCAAACUACGUCCCAGGGCAGAAGAGCAGAAGACCUGGGGAGUAGCAGGGAAACCAGGAGAGAGAAGAGAGCCCAGGCCUGAUGAAGAGAGCACGCCCGCCCCGGAAGCCAGCAGGGCAGCCCUGCAGAGGAGAGCUGGAGCUCGCUGACUCUGACACUGCUGCCAGUCCUGCCGAUCGCCCGGCUGGUCACUGCAUAAGAAUUGUAGGACAUGAGAAGUCAACUGGCAUUUGUUCCCUGCUCCUUCAUGACCACUGGACGUGGAACCAUGCAAGACUGACUGGAUGUGUGUCCUCAAAGUGUGAAGAGACAUUUUCAAUCUCAGGGACGGAGGAGCUUAAAUUUGGCUUUGGUGAAUUGGUCCUGAGGUUCAAGAUGGGAAGAUAAGGGUAACAAUGAGCAAGAUAAUAACGGGCUGACUGGAGGCCUAAAGAAACCAUGAUUAUAUGUGAGAUGCUUUGUUUUUAAUUUUUUACAUGGCAUUUGGCUGGCUAAGAUGCAGACCCAGUGCCUGAAUGGAACAAUUUCCUAAUCCUGAUUAAGGUUUUUGCAGCAGUGUUUCAGUGUGGUCUGUGUAGGGGCCUCAUUCCUGUAUUUGCUUGACAUUUUCAUACAAAAACGUUCUUUCUAUAUAAGACCACUGCUAACAUUUUCAGUCUGCUUUGUACAUUGUAACUUCUGUACUGCACAUCAUAUCUAGAAGCUAUUUUAAAGAAAAUAAAACAAAUUACUGUAGUAAACAGAGACAACAUAGAUUUUGCAAGUUGUAUCAGCAUGUCUGCCUGUCAGGAGUGGCUGUGAGAAAUGAUGAGAUUGUCACAAAGCACACUGCUUGCAAGAUUCAGAGGUACUGUACACAAUUUCCUCUAUCAAUUAGAAUUAAUAUUUGUUAAACAAUCAGUAUUUCAUCCAUUGUUUUCAACUACAUUUUCAUCUCAAGGAUUUGAGAGGUAAUUCUUGGGAGGAAUAACAAAGACUUUGUAAAGAAAAUCCAAGUAAAAUAAUUUUUCAUUAAAAAUAAAAGUAUGCACUUAAAAAGCACUCAUGUAUAUGUUUCCAAAUUUAGAUAAUGAGGAAAGUUUUCACCUGUUAGAAAUCAUUUUCUUCUCACACAGUUUCCAGAUGCUGGGAUAUUCUUUGCCAACUUUUCGCCUUACCCCAUUCAUAUUUGUGCUGUUGUCUUGCUAAAUGUCAGAAGCCAAAUGUUACUUGAGUUACAGCACCAUGAAAAUAUUUAAUAAGCAGAAGCAUAUCUGAAUGAAAAUAAACAUUGUCUUCAAUUUAUUAUUAUUUAAGACUUUCAAACAAAAUAAGCAGCUCUGGUUGUCAACAAACAGAAAUAGGUUAAAUUUUAAAGACACAAUAUCUAACAUAAGUAGAUUACUGAACUAGCAUCUCAGGUGUGUUGUCUGCUAAUAAUAGAGCACUUCCAUGCCUUGAAUGAUUUACUAUUAAAUCUCUCACCUGUUCAACCAACCAUAAAAUCACUCCUUACUUAAUAUCAAAUGACAACUUUCAUUCAUGGUGACAGAUGAGUUCAACUAAGGGGAUAAAUACUCCCAGGAAGAAACACACUUUGAUCUCAGUGGGAAAAAUAAAACUUUGAAUUAAAAGUAACAUGAAAAAUACUUUUAUUUUUACCGUAUGAGUAUGCAGGGUGUCCCCUUGUUUAGCUGGUAAAGUGUUCCACAUGUAACCAGAAGGAGGUGUGCUUGAAAAAACUGGUGUGUGCUUAAAUAAGACAAAUUUUAUUCAGUAAAAGAUACAUUGUUACUAAUGCCCUCGAAAUCCUUCCUCUCACUUUAAACAUACUCGCCCUCUUCUUCUUGACACUUUCUGAAGCAGUUCUGCAAAAUCUCUUUCCUGGGAGUUUCCUUUCAGUUUUCCUGUCAUGGCUGCCUCAGUGUACCGAAUCAACUCAGAACAAUUACCUACCUUUCAGGGUUGUGUUGGUUAUGGUGGAGUGUCAACUGGAUGGGCUAUGGGGGAUUGGUGGAGCACACUACUGGAUGUGUUGGAGUAGGUCAUGAAGGCAUGACCUUGAGCUCUAUAUCUGGUACCCUUAACCCUUCCUCUCUGGCCUGUUCUGACCUGCUUCCCUACAGGCAGCCAUGAACAAGCAGCUUUGCUCUGCCACACGCUCUUUCCAUAGUGUUGCUUCAUUGGAGCCAGACAACCAUGGACUGAGCCCUCUGAAACGAUGAGCUAAAUUAAACCUCUCGUCCGUUGUGGGUGUUAGGUAUUGUAUCUCAGCAACACAAAAGCUGCCUGAUACAAUGGCCAUUUUGACUUUGGGGAGAAGCCAAAAGUCACAUGGUUCUAGAUCUGGUUAGUGAGGUAGAUGAAGACACAGUGAUAUGUUUUUAGACCCUGCCUUUCCACUGGAUAGCAUUCAGCAGCAGCAUUCACCACAAUGUUGUUUUCUUUUUUUUAAUGUGAACUGUAAAGAAACUCAGAGAAAAGGACUUUGAGAAUUGCUUCAAGUAGUGGUAAGAAUGAUGGAAUAAUGGUGGAAGAUUUUGAGGACAGCGUACACAGACUCUUUUACUUUAAUGAAUUCUUUUAAAUAUUUAUCAUAUUUUCUGGUCACCCUGUGUAUAUUUCAAUUUUUUUGAAAAUAAUUUCCUUUGGGAAAGGAUAGAUGAAGAUGCAUACUCACACAUGCAUCUUACUCAGAUUUAUGGUUUAAUUGUUAUUUAUAAUAAAACUUUCAAAAAAUAUUCUAUACAACUUUAAUAGAUAGCUCCAACACAUGGUUAUUUUGUGAGCACACUUAACAUAUGCUUGAGGUAAUCCUCCUUGCCACUGCCUUGAAAUCCUUUGUAUUUAAACAAGAAGAGCUAUAGUCUUAUUUUGCACUGGCUGUGCUGCUUGUUUAUUCACUGUGUAUUACUGUAUACUGUCAGUAUUGGUGAGAAUGCUUAUUAAUUUAAACAGAGGAAUACACUGCAGGUGAGUGGUCUGCCUGCCCCCCUACUAAGGAGGACUACUGGCCCCUCACCACUGGGCUCUGUAAACCAUCUCACCACUUUGUGACCAUGACCAAAGCCGAUUGGUCUCCUGUCACCCUCCCUGAUUUCAUGAUCAUAGUAUUCCCAGUGACAUCCCAGGAGCCAUUUAAUCACUACUGUUACAGCUUAACCAAGGCUAUGGGAAUUUCAGUCCAAUUUAAACAAAUGAGACUGAAAUGAUAGGCACUUCAUAAGAAGCAAUUUGUCUAAAACAAGCAAUAGAAACUCCAUUAAUCACAAUACAAUGUGAUUUGAGGAAGAAUGAUAUGUAACUAUGAAUGUGGACGUGAAACACACAGUGUCUUUCUGAACAAGUUGCAGAAGAAUAUGUGGGGCAAUGAUUCCUUUUUGCUGUUUUUAGGAAUAUAUUUAGAUGUGAGCAAUCUUUGGAAAGAUCUGUAUCUUCACUAUUAAUAGAAAUUGUUAUAGGAAGUGGUUAUGUAUAUGCAUAUAUACAUAUAUAUAUAUAGAGAGAGAGAGAGAGAGAAGAAC
rnacentral:lncRNA from 1 species